rnacentral:misc_RNA from 1 species
AAAAAAUGGAGGGGAAAACGGAGAAGGAAAACAAGAGUGUAAAGAAGACGGCGUGUGAUGUGGAGGCUCUGAAGAAGUGUUUGGAAGAAAAUAAAGGCGACUAUUUGAAAUGUCAGUCUCAUGUUGAAGCAUUUAGGUCAUCUUGCUCUAUCAACAAUUCUAAUUCUUCUUCACCAAAGCUCAACUCCGAUACACACGCAGGAAGGCAAUAACUUGACCAAGCCUGUUCAAGAAAAGAUCUUCAUAUAUUAGAGGACUGAUUUGGAGGACUGAAAUCCGCGUCUUUUGCUGCUAGCAGUAAUAAAACCAGAAAGAAGAUUCAAGUAUAAGACACCGCAUUGUUUGUAAAAUUCCUCCACAAAGGAUAUAGUUUUCUUAUCUUUGCUAUUUCUUCAGCUUUAAUAUCUCUUCAGAUACUCUCCCAGAAAUUUUGUGACAAGUAGCAAGAGAGAACUAAUGAGGAAAACAAAAUGUUGGUGGAUGGGCAGUUGAAUAUUACAUUGGCUGCUUUUA